rnacentral:rRNA from 1 species
GUAGGGUGCAAGCGUUAAUCGGAAUUACUGGGCGUAAAGCGUGCGCAGGCGGUUGUGCAAGACAGAUGUGAAAUCCCCGGGCUUAACCUGGGAACUGCAUUUGUGACUGCACGGCUGGAGUGCGGCAGAGGGGGAUGGAAUUCCGCGUGUAGCAGUGAAAUGCGUAGAUAUGCGGAGGAACACCGAUGGCGAAGGCAAUCCCCUGGGCCUGCACUGACGCUCAUGCACGAAAGCGUGGGGAGCAAACAGGAUUAGAUACCCUGGUAGUCCACGCCCUAAACGAUGUCAACUGGUUGUUGGGAAGGUUCCUUCUCAGUAACGAAGCUAACGCGUGAAGUUGACCGCCUGGGGAGUACGGCCGCAAGGUUG